GCGAUUUUCCUGCCUCAGCCUCCCAAGUAGCUGGGAUUUACAGCUGGAUCUACCAUGAAAGACUUCAGAGUCCAGGAAGAGAGACUGACUGGGCAACAUGUUAUUCAGGAAGUGGUGAAUUAAGUGUGGCAGGAAUACUUUGUAGCGACAGUAAUUUGCUUGUAUGGAAUUUUGCCUGAGAGACCUCACUACAGUUUCUAAUCUUUUGAUGUUAUCAUCCAUCCCUGUCCUUGUCAAAUAGUUUGGAAUAGGUAUGAUGAUCACAAUAACACCAAGCAUAAUAUCUCAUUAAUUCUCACAAAAUGACAGGUAGGUGCCACAGUUAUCCUCAUUUUAUGAAUGAAGUGAUGAAGACUUAGGGAUAAUGAAUGA
rnacentral:lncRNA from 1 species